rnacentral:rRNA from 1 species
AACGAACGCUGGCGGCAUGCCUAACACAUGCAAGUCGAACGAGACCUUCGGGUCUAGUGGCGCACGGGUGCGUAACGCGUGGUAACCUGCCCUUAGGUUCGGAAUAACUCCCCGAAAGGGGUGCUCAUACCGGUUAAUGUCUUCGGACCAAAGAUUUAUCGCUUUUGGAUGGGCCCGCGUUGGAUUAGCGAGUUGGUAGGGUAAAAGCCUACCAAGGCGACGAUCCAUAGCUGGUCUGAGAGGAUGAUCAGCCACACUGGGAAUGAGACACGGCCCAGAAUCCGACGGGAGGGAGCAGUGGGGAAUAUUGGACAAUGGGCGAAAGCCUGAUCCAGCAAUGCGGGGUGAGUGAUGAAGGCCUUAGGGUUGUAAAGCUCUUUUACCCGGGAUGAGAAUGACAGUACCGGGAGAAUAAGCUCCGGCUAACUCCGUG